ACUACAUGAAGCUGGAAUCGCUAGUAAUCGCAAAUCAGAAUGUUGCGGUGAAUACGUUCCCGGGCCUUGUACACACCGCCCGUCACACCAUGGGAGUUGGAAGCGCCCGAAGUCGAUGACCCAACCGUAAGGAGGGAGUCGCCGAAGGUGAAGCCAGUGACUGGGGUGAAGUCGUAACAAGGUACC
rnacentral:rRNA from 1 species